rnacentral:rRNA from 1 species
AACGAACGCUGGCGGCAUGCCUAACAAAUGCAAGUCGAACGAGACCUUCGGGUCUAGUGGCGUACGGGUGCGUAACGCGUGGGAACCUGCCCUUAGGUUCGGAAUAACUCCCCGAAAGGGGUGCUAAUACCGGAUAAUGUCUCCGGACCAAAGAUUUAUCGCCUUUGGAUGGGCCCGCGUUGGAUUAGCUAGUUGGUAGGGUAAAAGCCUACCAAGGCGACGAUCCAUAGCUGGUCUGAGAGGAUGAUCAGCCACACUGGGACUGAGACACGGCCCAGACUCCUACGGGAGGCAGCAGUGGGGAAUAUUGGACAAUGGGCGAAAGCCUGAUCCAGCAAUGCCGCGUGAGUGAUGAAGGCCUUAGGGUUGUAAAGCUCUUUUACCCGGGAUGAUAAUGACAGUACCGGGAGAAUAAGCUCCGGCUAACUCCGUG